GAUGAACGCCGGCGGCGUGCCUAAUACAUGCAAGUCGAGCGAACAGACGAGGAGCUUGCUCCUCUGACGUUAGCGGCGGACGGGUGAGUAACACGUGGAUAACCUACCUAUAAGACUGGGAUAACUUCGGGAAACCGGAGCUAAUACCGGAUAAUAUAUUGAACCGCAUGGUUCAAUAGUGAAAGACGGUUUUGCUGUCACUUAUAGAUGGAUCCGCGCCGCAUUAGCUAGUUGGUAAGGUAACGGCUUACCAAGGCAACGAUGCGUAGCCGACCUGAGAGGGUGAUCGGCCACACUGGAACUGAGACACGGUCCAGACUCCUACGGGAGGCAGCAGUAGGGAAUCUUCCGCAAUGGGCGAAAGCCUGACGGAGCAACGCCGCGUGAGUGAUGAAAGUCUUCGGAUCGUAAAACUCUGUUAUUAGGGAAGAACAAAUGUGUAAGUAACUAUGCACGUCUUGACGGUACCUAAUCAGAAAGCCACGGCUAACUACGUG
rnacentral:rRNA from 1 species